rnacentral:rRNA from 1 species
CGCAGGCUGAAUAGUAAGUCAGAGGUGAAAAUCCAUAGCUUAACUGUGGACUUGCCUUUGAUACUGUUAUUCUUGAGUGCAGUUGAAGUGGGCGGAAUAUAGCAUGUAGCGGUGAAAUGCAUAGAUAUGCUAUAGAACACCGAUUGCGAAGGCAGCUCGCUAAGCUGAAACUGACGCUGAGGCACGAAAGCUUGGAUAGCAAACAGGAUUAGAUACCCUGGUAGUCCAGGCUGUAAACGAUGAACACUCGCUGUUGGCAAUACAUAGUCAGCGGCUGAGCGAAAGCGUUAAGUGUUCCACCUGGGAAGUACGAUCGCAAGGUUGAAACUCAAAGGAAUUGACGGGGGCCCGCACAAGCGGAGGAGCAUGUGGUUUAAUUCGAUGAUACGCGAGGAACCUUACCUGGGCUUAAAUGCAUAACGACGUAUGGUGAAAGCCAUAUUUCUUCGGACGUUUUGCAAGGUGCUGCAUGGUUGUCGUCAGCUCGUGCCGUGAGGUGUCGGGUUAAGUCCCAUAACGAGCGCAACCCCUACUUCUAGUUACCAGCAUUACGGAUGGGGACUCUAGAGGAACUGCCUACGCAAGUAGAGAGGAAGGUGGGGAUGACGUCAAAUCAGCACGGCCCUUAUGUCCAGGGCUACACACGUGCUACAAUGGGCGGUACAGAGGGCAGCUACACAGCGAUGUGGUGCUAAUCUCGAAAGCCGUUCACAGUCCGGAUUAGAGUCUGCAACUCGACUCUAUGAAGCUGGAUUCGCUAGUAAUCGCAUAUCAGCCAUGGUGCGGUGAAUACGUUCCCGGGCCUUGUAC